rnacentral:rRNA from 1 species
CUGCGCCACAAGUGGUGAUCGCGUUUAUUGGGCCUAAAGCGUCCGUAGCCGGAUUGAUAACUCUUUUGUGAAAUUGUUAGACUUAAUUUAACAACGUGCAGGAGAAACUGUCAAUCUUGGGACCGGAGAGAAGUCAGAAGUAUGCCGUGGGGAGCGGUAAAAUGCAAUAAUCCACGGUAGACUACCUGUGGCGAAGGCGUCUGACUAGAACGGAUCUGACGGUGAGGGACGAAAGCUAGGGGAGCAAUCUGGAUUAGAUACCCGAGUAGUCC